AUUGAACGCUGGCGGCAUGCCUUACACAUGCAAGUCGAACGGCAGCGGGGACUUCGGUCCGCCGGCGAGUGGCGAACGGGUGAGUAAUGUAUCGGAACGUACCAUUGAGUGGGGGAUAACGUAGCGAAAGUUACGCUAAUACCGCAUAUUCUCUCCGGAGGAAAGCAGGGGACCGCAAGGCCUUGCGCUCUUUGAGCGGCCGAUAUCAGAUUAGCUAGUUGGUGAGGUAAAAGCUCACCAAGGCGACGAUCUGUAGCGGGUCUGAGAGGAUGAUCCGCCACACUGGAACUGAGACACGGUCCAGACUCCUACGGGAGGCAGCAGUGGGGAAUUUUGGACAAUGGGGGCAACCCUGAUUCAGCCAUGCCGCGUGAGUGAAGAAGGCCUUCGGGUUGUAAAGCUCUUUCGGCCGGGAAAAAAUCGCAUGGGUUAAUACCCUGUGUGGAUGAUGGUACCGGAAUAAGAAGCACCGGCUAACUACGUGCCAGCAGCCGCCGUAA
rnacentral:rRNA from 1 species